ensembl:lncRNA
GCCCUUAUAGAGAUACUGUCUAUAUUUUGAAUGUUUGGCUUACUGUCAUGCUGAGAAUGCAUUCGUGAAGGAGAUAAAUUACCUUUAAAUGAUAUCAGCCAAAGAUUCUGCAUCCGUCCAAUUGGUUCUGGAUGUUAGUGAUGCCUUCAACACCAUUGAUCAUUUGCUUCUCUUUGAAAACGAUGUUGGGUUCUGCGGAGACGCUCCUGCCUGGUUUUGAUUCUAUCUUCCGGGGAGAUGUUAGUAUGUGUGGAUGUCCUGUCCUUGAUAAAACAAAGGUAGGCUUUGGCAUUCCUUAAGGCUCAGUUUUAUUUUUGCUAUAUAUGCUACCCCGUCGUUAUUGUUUCCAAUGCAGUGGUGUGUGUGAAGCGGGACUGGGGUCAGUCUACAUUAUAUGCUGAGGAUCCUUUUGGAUUUAAGGUGUAUUCUCUCUAAUUUGCCUGGUGUCUAGUAGAAUCUUAGGAGGACCUGAGUCCUUAGACCACAUCUUAGAUCUACCUGGCCUGAGAGGGAGGGAGGGAGAAAGGGAGACAGAGAGAGGAAGGCAGAUAUCUCCCCCUCUCUCUCUCUCUUCCACUCUCCUCCUCUCUCUCCUCUCGCUCUCCUCCUCUUUCUCCUCCUCUCUCUCUCCCUCUCUCGCGCCUCCUUUCUCUCUCCCCAUCUCACUGUGUCUUGCUUGGCUCAGCACUUGGGCAACUUUCUUAACAGAAAACCACCUCUGUGUUCUGACCUGGCCCCCCCAUGCCCUCCUAUCUGAACACACAUUGAUUUGCCAAGUGAUUUGCGGUAGCUCUAAUGGAGAUGGCACUGUGACAAGUCUUAACAGGGGUUAAAGAUGGCAAUUUAAUUAUGUGUCAGAGGUCACGUUAAGGCCUGACCCUUAACCUCUGACUCCUAGCCAGAGGCCGUAGUACUGAUUAGUGAGAUGUUAAGAAUCUGCAUUACUUGACCAAAUGAUUGAUAUUACAACAUUGAAGGCAUCGUGAACUAAUAGACAGCUAAUCAUAGUUUAAUAUGACCACUUUUCCCUGACCUUGUGACCCCUAACUGACCUUGUGACCCCUAACUGACCUGGUAGGGUCAACACCCUACAGGAUCACAGGCCAGCUCACCACAGUAUCUGAAGACAACACAGUGUAUAUUUUGAGACUGGGGAUGGAUUAUGGCUCUGUGAGAUGUCAGAUCAGCUCUGUAGGGAGACAUAACAACCGGAAAGCUCUUCCUGGCAGCACCAAGCCUGGGGACACACAGGGAGGUGGAGGUUAACAUGAUGGAGGCACAGAGUGGUUGGAGUUUAGCGUGAUGGAGCCUCAGAAUGUGUAGAGGUUAGCUUGAAGGAGCGUUAGAGUGGUUGGAGGUUAGCGUGACGGAG